rnacentral:rRNA from 1 species
UACAGAGGUCCCAAGCGUUGUUCGGAUUCAUUGGGCGUAAAGGGUGUGUAGGUGGCGCCGUAAGUCGGGUGUGAAAUUUCGAGGCUUAACCUCGAAACUGCAUUCGAUACUGUGGUGCUUGAGGACUGGAGAGGAGACUGGAAUUCAUGGUGUAGCAGUGAAAUGCGUAGAGAUCAUGAGGAAGACCAGUGGCGAAGGCGGGUCUCUGGACAGUUCCUGACACUGAGACACGAAGGCCAGGGGAGCAAACGGG